rnacentral:rRNA from 1 species
CCUACGGGGGGCUGCAGUGGGGAAUAUUGGGCAAUGGGCGCAAGCCUGACCCAGCAACGCCGCGUGAAGGAAGAAGGCUUUCGGGUUGUAAACUUCUUUUGACAGGGAAGAGUAGAAGACGGUACCUGUCGAAUAAGCCACGGCUAACUACGUGCCAGCAGCCGCGGUAAUACGUAGGUGGCAAGCGUUGUCCGGAUUUACUGGGUGUAAAGGGCGUGUAGCCGGGUUGACAAGUCAGAUGUGAAAUCCUGCGGCUUAACCGCAGAACUGCAUUUGAAACUGUUGAGCUUGAGUACUGGAGAGGCGGACGGAAUUCCUAGUGUAGCGGUGGAAUGCGUAGAUAUUAGGAGGAACACCAGUGGCGAAGGCGGGCUGCUGGGCAGCAACUGACGGUGAGGCGCGAAAGCGUGGGGAGCGAACAGGAUUAGAUACCCGAGUAGUC